CUGUAGACCGAUGGCUUAACCACUGCGUCACCGAGGCGCUCGCAAAAACUAAAUAAAUAAAGGGAGAUAAUUUCGCCGGAAGUAACUGGCGGGGUUUACAAAUGGCGUCGAAGUAGAAUUUGGAAACACCUUUGGUGAUUAGCUUAAUUAUGAAGUGUAUUUGACGAGCCAACUAUCCAUAUUAAUUAUGGACAGGACCCCCAAAUCUCUUCAGCAGAUGAAGGUUGAUUUCAGCCAGUUUCUGUCAUCUGCCAGCAAGACGUCGGACAACAAGCCAGUGUUUCGACUGGAUCACAGCAUUCUAGACGCACAGACAACACAGUCUCUGUCCAUGAGAAGUUUGUUAGAGCAUGAAAAAGCCAAUAAGCAGAAGGAAGCUGACCUGAUAGCUGCCAAGGCACAGAUUGCUCAGCUGGAAACACAGAUUGGUAGUCUGAAGACGUCCUUCAAGCGAGCUAGAAUAGAAUUCGAAACUGACGUUGAGAGUAUUACACACGAGAAAGAGAGAGAGCAUGAAGAAAUCUUGAAUCUGAAAUCUCAGCUCUCAUAUCUCGCCCAGCGUGAACAUCAACUUCACGAGGAACUAGCCGACUGCCAGAAAGACCUUGUUCAGCAGAAAACACAGUACGAGGACAAGCUUCUCGCAAAGCAGAAAGAAUACCUACAGCUUGAAAACAAACUACAUGAGGCACAGGAAGAAGCUUGGGAGCAGUCAUCAGCACUGAAGAAUGAAUUGCUGCAAACUAAAACGGAGAUGUGCAAGAUUAGCAGCGAACUUGACGAAGCAAAAGCACAACUUAAACUGCAACUAGGCAGGUCCGUGGAUCUAAAUUCUUCACUGAAAGAACUUGAAGAUCAUCGGCACCGAGCAACUGUUGCAGAGCAAAGAGUUCGAGAUUUAGAAAGUGAGCUAGCUCGCAAUGAAGAGAACAUCACCAUCACCAAAAGUAUGAAGUCUUUGUUAGAUAAAGUACCAGACUUGGAGAGAGAGAUUCGCAAACUCCGGGAGGACAACAAAUAUUACAAAGAGCGUGAGAAGAACGUCAUGCUGUUGGAGGAGCAAGUGACUAGCCUGGAGGAGAAACUUGAGAGGGCAAACCGGCGGAUGGCCGACUUCACUGAGAUGCAAUUAGAAAAUGAGGAUUUAAAAGGAAGACUUCAAAGAUGGGAGGCAUUAGAUACUAGUGGAUCUAGAAGACCAAGGUCACCAUGUGAACUAUCAAGACUUGUAGCCGAGCAUCAGAGGAAGGAACUACUGUUGCUGGAACAACAAGGACAGCUACAAACAAGGUUAAAUGUUGCUGCAAUGGAAAAGGACACAUUAAAGAAGAAAUACGAAGUUUUGAGUUCUCAACAUCAUGAGCAAACCGUCCAACUACAACAACAAGCAGAUUUGAUCAAACGCCUUCAACGGAAACUUCUGCUGGUCACCAAGGAGAGGGAAGGUCUUAAGAAAGUGCUUGAUUCCUACGAAAGUGAAGUGACGAUGAACGUGGCACAGGCCACAGCUAGUCGCAUCGAGCAUCUCGGGGAGUUGGUUGAAGGUUAUCGGAAACAAGCUGGGGACCUGGAGGCAGAGCUGAGCAAACACUCGGAACAAAUGUCAAAAACACAGUCCCAAUGCAUGCAGUUGCAAAGCAAGUCUCUCGGAGGUGAAGACUCUCAACAGCAGAUCCGAUCUCAGCAGGACAAGAUCAGAGAACUCCAGGAAAAGGUUAUAAUUUUAGAGCAGGCACUUGAGAAAAAGGAGCAAGAGAAAGAUAUUCUUGAAGCACGUAUAGAGCAACGUCAUCUACAGGGCGACUAUGACCCAACGCGCACCAAGGUUGUACAUUUCUCCAUGAACCCCGCCCAGCUGGCGCAGGAUCAGAGAAGCCUUGACCGUGAGAAGUUGCAGGAGGAGAACGAAAAGCUGAAACAGAGGCUGAAGCUGUUGGAGGAGGGUGGGGGGUGGGUGGAGGAUCUCACGAUCAGAGUCGACGAGAAACUGCAGGAGCCAGACUCCAGCAAGCAGAUAGAAGAAGUGAGAUCCCAGCUGUCCAAGGAGCAGCUUAAGAACAAACGGCUGAUGGAGGCAUUCAAAAAGACGAGUCAUGAAUUUCGAGACGUGUGUUACCAGCUGACUGGCUACAAGAUUGACCUCCCUUCUUCCAACCAGUACCGCCUCACAAGCAUGUUUGCUGAGUCACCGAAGGACUACCUUCUGUUUCAGCAAAGUCCAAGAGGAGAAAUUCAGAUGUUGCAGACCGAUUUUUCAGAGACUGUUAAAGAUCUGAUAGAACUCUAUUUGUCCAAACAGGACUGUAUUCCAGGAUUUCUCAGCAGUGUAACACUCGAUCUGUUUGGCAGACAGACUAUGAAUUUGGGAUGAGUCGGUAUUUUUACAAAGAUGCGUUGGCAUUUGGAAUAUUCUUGUACAUCUCCAUCAUGGAAAUGUUGUUAUGCUUUUUGCGUGCUGCAGUGCAGUGUUCAAAGGAAUGGUUAUGCAUCAAAGGAAUGGUUAUGCAUCAAGUCUCUAACGGAUUAGCUGUGCCAUGUUAAAAUGGAAUCAUUGGCAUGGACAGGACUUUGUAAUUGGGUGGGAGAGACGUUCACGUAUAAAAACAGAGUACAGCCUCCGGUUCAGGAAUAGGGUCCUGACGUUCCACUAGUUUUCCUGAUCUAAUGGAACCAUGCUCCAAUAUGGCUAUGCCAAUGGAAUACAAAUAUGUGGAUGUGUUCAUAAAGACAAGUUUCUUAACAGAAAGGUAGUAGUGAUAGGCCAUUCUGAUGAAGAAUAUUCUGUGAUCUAUGAUGGAUAUAUUCCACUUAUGAGUUCAUAAUUUGAUAACAAAAACAAUGCAACAACAAAAUAUGAGUUGGAGCAUGAAAAGCUGAUGUGAACAAUGAAGCAACUUCAGACUAUGAAUUCCUUCACUUCGUCAUCAUUCAACAGCUGUCACUGCGUCAAUAAUUGUAAUUUCUCUCUGGUUUAUCCCAUUUUUAGCAAAAAUGCUCAAAACUAUAUUGUUUUUCUUUUAAAAUGACAGCAAAAUAAAUAUUACCACAGAAAAGAGCAGUUUGAGCAAUGGUUGGAGAUAAUUUUAUUUAAAUGUAUAAAAUCUGUUAUAAGUCUUAUGCAUGACUUAAAUUAAUUAUGACCAAAAUUAUACAAAUUAGAAUUGAAUAUAUUUUAUAAAAUGAAAAUAAUAAAUGUUUAACAAUA
rnacentral:misc_RNA from 1 species